rnacentral:rRNA from 1 species
UACGUAGGGUGCGAGCGUUUAAUCGGAAUUACUGGGCGUAAAGCGUGCGCAGGCGGUUUGAUAAGUCAGAUGUGAAAGCCCCGGGCUCAACCUGGGAACUGCGUUUGAAACUGUCAGGCUAGAGUGUGUCAGAGGGAGGUAGAAUUCCACGUGUAGCAGUGAAAUGCGUAGAGAUGUGGAGGAAUACCGAUGGCGAAGGCAGCCUCCUGGGAUAACACUGACGCUCAUGCACGAAAGCGUGGGGAGCAAACAGG